CUCCAUCACAUAUAUUCCCAAAGGCCCAGCACUCCGGUGAAUUCCAGAAACUUGCUGGGCACUAUAGAGGUGUUGUGAUCCAUUAUUACAUAAGUGAAGCCAAGGGUCUUGAGCCUGCGUCUACAAAUUGCUGUACAAUCUAAAAUCAGGUGAUCAGGAGUUUCGGGUUCCAUGUCGCAAAACCGGCAGUUUGUACAAGAAGCCAUUUUCAUGCUGGACAGGUGUUUUUGGAGUCUGCAGUGCCUUGCUAGGUUUCAAUUUCCAGCCUUGCAUUCUAUUGGUUGCUGCCAGUAACUUUCUCUUUCAGAUCAGGUGUACACGGUUGCAUCCUGGUAGGCUGUGCAGCCUUCCUAUGCACUCCUUCACUAAUAGCGAUUUAAACUCAUAGGCUGAGUUCGCUUUUAGUGUCACUUGACUAUCGCUAUGUAUAGCGAUACGCUGGUUGCGUUGGAGAUUUAUUUGUGCACACUGACUUUUAGAAAAGUCUUCUGCUUGAAAAUUGCGCCGUCUCUUGGAAGAAGAGCCAGUGGUGUAUCUGGUCUGUUAGCGUGCUGAUUUGCAUUUAGGUGUUUGAUUUUCAGCGCCUUCGAUCUAAUAUCGUUUUCUAUAAUCUCUUCCAUCCCUUUUAGUAUGAAGAAAGUGAGACUAAUAGGCCUGAAGGAUUUAGCCUAUGAAGAGUCUUUCUUUCGCAAGGCUAUCUCUUAUCUGUCCAACACCGUAUGGCAAUAGAGCUUGUUCUCCUUGUUGCAGAAGUGCUGGGAAGAUGCGAUCCGCCCCUGGUGACUUAUAUUUUCGUGAAAGAAGCCAGUGCCCACUGGAUUGAGUCUGCAUUUUCUGCAGUGAAUAAAUCCUUGCAGCUGUCCAAUCGAACAGUCUCCGGGAAGUUCGCAAGCAAAAAUGCCAUUGCCCUCUUCUCUACGCUAGUCGUAUAGGUCCCAUCAGAUCUUUUUAUGGCUAAUGUCAGUCUUGCCUCUGGCCAGAGCCUUAUGUAGUCUGGCUGCCUCUAGGGCUGAGGAGACGUUUUCACAGAAUUUUCUGAAGCUAUUGAUUUUCGCAGACCUAAUUUCUUAUUAUAAGUUAGGUGCUACCUAUAUUCCUACCAGUUGCCAGUACAUUUGGCUUUGUUGGAAUGCCUGCAAACUGAUUUUCUGAGUACUAAAAGGUUACUGAACCACCAUGAACAACUUCGUUUCCUGGUGGUCGACUUUAGUGGACAGUCGCAAUGUUACGCGUCCAUUAUUAACUGGUUAGUCACAGCCAACCUACUCUCUAGGCCGAGCGGCGUAGCAUCGCUUCCUACCCGCCUUAUAUUUAAAUCUAAAAUAUCCCUAAAUACAUCCCAGCUCGUGUUUCUAGAGAUACAAAUCGGUCCACACUUCUCGUGCUAUUAACGAAGGUGGUUUUGCAACCCACAUUCUCAAUGCUUAAAUUGCUACUUAUAAUAAAUUCCCUCGCGUUGCAGUCUGUGCUGCAGAAUUCCAUAUGGUGCGCGUUGGCGUUUCACCCCAUUAUAAGGGGGAGCUUAUUUCUACUGCAGUAAUUCAUAAGUUUGUGAAUCGCUGUGGGGGUGCUGUAGCUGUCUCCUCUGGAAAAUAGGCCAAUGCAAGGACGAAGUCCGAACCUUCCUUGUCCUUCACCUGCGCCGCAACCAGAUUCUGCGUUAGAAACUCUGAAAUGCAAAAUAAAUUAAUUUCGUCCCUAACCACUUCACAAGACCAAGGUCUCUCACCAGAGAUAUCCCAGAUUACCUUGCUUGUUCUUGUAUUGAGGCCCCUGACAUUUCCUCUGUAAGUCUACGAUUCCUGGAUCAAUAGGUUAUUCGAUAGGAAGAUACUCGCGAUAAAAGCCGAGGCGACCGUCGCGUGGUGUAGGUUCCUCUGGGCAACUUUUAUGAGGCUUUGGCGGUUCUAUGAAGGACAAGUACUAGUCGCCGUUGUCCUCAUCUUUGCCACACUCCUGAACCUUCAGUUCUUCCAGGCGCUUCUGUGUGGAGAGAACUCCCCUUCCCGCAUGAUAGGAGACUCAUCCUGUACUCCUCCCACGACAGUAGCAGUAGCAACUUGCUUGACUGUGUCGGUGCCGCUACCGAUUAUCCUCCAACCAUAUGUAUUGAUGCUCUUGUUUUGGUUUAAUGAGACCAAGUGCAAACUAGUAGGGCUUACCUGCGCUCCUGAAAAAAAACCCUCCCUGUAGAUCUUAUCCAUUAUGUUGUCCUGCAGAGCGUUGGCCACCAAUCGCCUGUGGCUGAUUCCUCUUACAACUCCGAGGUUCUUGAAUCGUUAUUUUCCCACAUUCAGUGUACUAAAAUACCAUUUCACAGUGGCACCUCUCAUGCCCACCCUGCAAGAAUAAUCAGGGCCACCGAGACGCCCAGCUUCUGAUUUUUUACGCACACUUUUGGUCCCGUUUCGUUUGGGUUCGCCCGCCUCCGAGCAGCUGAGCCUGCUUGAAGGGGUUGUUGUGGUGUCCGCAUUUCCUGCAAUCUGCCGGAGUAGACAGCGUCUUCUGAGUGCCACUGCAGGACGGCACUUUAUCAUCGUCCCGCGCGUGCUCCUCAAACAGUGCGCGCUCCUCUUGCGAAAGAGUGUCUAGAAAACUAAACUAACGCCUAACUUCUAAAUCGCUCUUACCUGCAACGGACCUAUUGCCUGGUUUGGUUGUUCAAGGUGGUGAUUGUGGAUGUUGUUUUGUUUUGGUUUUUGUGUACUCAUUCCGUUUCUUAGGACCUUUUGCUCAGCAUGGUGAGCUUCCAGGUCUGGUCUAUAUCAAAGGGAAAUCAAAGGUCCGCCGCGCCAGAGCCCCUUGACGCUUGUACCGGUAUUACCCAAGGUGGCACGGUGUUGGAAGGCUCCGUUAAAAUACAGUCGAAUUUACUUCCUGGCUGCAAAUCUUCCAAUGGGCAUGGGAGUUGCAUAACACCCUGGAUUGGGAGCAGCUCUUCUUCAUCGUACACAUGCGGCCCCUGGCAACCCGUCUAAGGAAUGCUGUACAAGACCAGUCACACCGGCUGGGAGGGACUGAAUGACGUUGAGAUUAAGCCACUUCAAGGUGCCUGCCAGCUACAGAAACCCUGACGUGGUUAUCAAUAACAUUAUAAAUAGUUCCGUAAUUUAAAUGGUACAUAUGUAAUUAUGUAUGUAUGUAUUGUUGACAUGUCUAUAAUAAACUUUUGAUUCAGUAUAACUACGGAUUGUAAUAAAAUCGAAAAUAUUUAAUAUUUUAUGUUUAUCGAUUUAAACCCCUACAUGGGACAAAGAGAAAUUAUACGAAGCUGUUGCUUUUAUGCAAUUACGCUGGGAGAUAUUAUUCAGUUCUAAUAUUUGUUGUUGAUUUUUGGAGAUUGAAUAGUGUAAUAUGAUGUGCUCAACGGUCACCAUUGCAAAUCAGGAGGGACGAUAAAUAAAUAAAAUGAUGAAUUUCCGAUUGUGUGAAUGCCUUAAAGGAAUGCAUAAUAUCUCAAGAAGAUUGUGUAAGAAUUUGAAGUUGAUUGGAGCAAAUUUGACGGUUACGUGUAUUUUUAUACCUGUUUAAUGAAAAUUUUACAUCAGAUUUGUUGACAGUGCAAUAGGCACUACUGCAUAACUGACGAGUGACAAAUUUGGAAUUUGAAAACCUCCAGCUUUACCUGGGGAUAGCGAUUAUCUAACGAUAUAAUUUUGACUUUUUGAUGUCAAAUGAUCCAACACCGAGUUAUGAGGGGCAAAUAAACAUUUUUAACAAAAAAAUCAUUAAUUAUGUUAUUGUUUAUUUAUUGUUGCUUUUUUGUUCAAGUCCAUUUAUAUUUUUUCACAUUUGGACAUCACCUCCAUUUAUUUUUCACUUGGUUUCAACACAACGCCGCACAGUAGGGCCAGGCGCCCUAUUUUUACGGAUCAAUUCACGGAAGCUUUAUUUGUAUGAUUUUUCUUUAUUUUAUUUUUAAUAUAACUACAGUUAGUCAAAACAAAAAGUUUUUGAGAAAAUUAAGAUGCAGUUAUAGUAAAAAAUUGUGGUUAACUAGUUAUGAACAUAAAAUUACAAAAAUAGUUCAAAAAGCUCUUAUUUAAUAUUCAUCAGUAUCGUCCCCAUCUUUAUCCAAAUAUAUUGGUCUUUUUUUGGCAACCUUCGCAUGCUUGGAUCUGAGGUUAAUAAAAGAUAUUUCAGAAAAUCAUGAUCUGAUUUUUCGCGGCUACACUUUCUUGAAUGAAAUUCACGAUAUUUUUUUAACCUUUUUAGUGCCGGGAGCCGAAAUAUCAAAAUUUCUUAUUAUUGAUUUCAUACCCACAAGACACUACCAUUAAUAGUAUGUGCAAUUGCUUUAUCAAAUUCAAAUUUAUUGAUAUUGUUUCAGCAGAAUUUUCUGCAUUUUGGUCAAAGUCUUUUUGGGCAAAGUCUAGCGGUAUUACCGUCGUUUGUGUUUCCAAAGCCAGGCUUGGGGUGGUCAACUAUUAACCGUCAACUUUUUUUAAUUGUAUAGUAGUAUAAAAUUUUUUAAUUUCUUGUUCUACCCUUUCCUGUUCCGCAAUCGCCAAAGAUUGGGUUUACUUUACAAAUUCUAUUUUUAGUGGUCUGCAAAAUCUAGUAGAUGACGGUGAUUUUUCCAAAUUACUUCUUCUUCCAACGUAAGUUUCAGAGGCACAAUCGUUGUUAAAUAUACGGAGGAAUCACUAGCAUCACUUUCAUGAAAAUCUUGUUUGAACGAACUGUGACCAUUUUGUAUAAAGUUGGAGUUUUCGGGUCCUUAACGAGUCAAUCCGAUUUUCAUCAAAUUGAAUUGAUCGUUUUGCUUGUAAACUUACUUCAGUGGAAGUUUCGCUUAGUGUAAUGCACUGAUAUUCUGGAUAGCACUUUUUUUCUCUACUUGUAUUAUUUUAUAGGAUGGAAACUUAUCUGGAUCAGAUUGCGACAUUGUAUUGGUAUAGGGAUAGCUUAGCUUCUACGAAGACAGCCAGUGCUUUAAGGUUUUACAUUUUUGUACCAGUAAGAGGUUUCAUCAAACUUUCGUUAAACUUUUUGGCUGCUGACGGUGAAAAUUUGUGUAGCAUUAAGUAAAACUGAUAACUCUGUUGUGUCUCUUAAAUAUUUAGUUUUUUU